CAGAGGAUAGUUUAGUUAAAAUAUUAAUUUUGGAGAUUAAUGAUAAGGUGAUAAAUCUUUUCUCUGA
rnacentral:tRNA from 1 species